rnacentral:tRNA from 2 species
GGGGACGUAGCUCAGUUGGGAGAGCGCAUGAAUGGCAUUCAUGAGGUCGUGGGUUCGAUUCCCAUCGUCUCCACCA